rnacentral:tRNA from 1 species
GGGACUUAGGAUAAACUAAACCAAGAGCCUUCAAAGCCCUAAACAAGAGUGAAAAUCUCUUAGUCCCUGA